CGCCAGACUCCUACGGGAGGCAGCAGUGGGGAAUAUUGCACAAUGGGGGAAACCCUGAUGCAGCGACGCCGCGUGAGUGAGGAAGUAUUUCGGUAUGUAAAGCUCUAUCAGCAGGGAAGAAAAUGACGGUACCUGACUAAGAAGCCCCGGCUAACUACGUGCCAGCAGCCGCGGUAAUACAUAGGGGGCAAGCGUUAUCCGGAAUUAUUGGGUGUAAAGGGUGCGUAGACGGAGAAACAAGUUGGUUGUGAAAUCCCUCGGCUCAACCGAGGAACUGCAACCAAAACUAUUUCCCUUGAGUGUCGGAGAGGAAAGUGGAAUUCCUAGUGUAGCGGUGAAAUGCGUAGAUAUUAGGAGGAACACCAGUGGCGAAGGCGACUUACUGGACUGUAACUGACGUUGAGGCUCGAAAGCGUGGGGAGCAAACAGGAUUAGAUACCCCAGUA
rnacentral:rRNA from 1 species